CCUAUAAGACUGGGAUAACUUCGGGAAACCGGAGCUAAUACCGGAUAACAUUUAGAACCGCAUGGUUCUAAAGUGAAAGAUGGUUUUGCUAUCACUUAUAGAUGGACCCGCGCCGUAUUAGCUAGUUGGUAAGGUAACGGCUUACCAAGGCGACGAUACGUAGCCGACCUGAGAGGGUGAUCGGCCACACUGGAACUGAGACACGGUCCAGACUCCUACGGGAGGCAGCAGUAGGGAAUCUUCCGCAAUGGGCGAAAGCCUGACGGAGCAACGCCGCGUGAGUGAUGAAGGGUUUCGGCUCGUAAAACUCUGUUAUUAGGGAAGAACAAAUGUGUAAGUAACUGUGCACAUCUUGACGGUACCUAAUCAGAAAGCCACGGCUAACUACGUGCCGGCAGCCGCGGUAAUACGUAGGUGGCAAGCGUUAUCCGGAAUUAUUGGGCGUAAAGCGCGCGUAGGCGGUUUCUUAAGUCUGAUGUGAAAGCCCACGGCUCAACCGUGGAGGGUCAUUGGAAACUGGGAAACUUGAGUGCAGAAGAGGAGAGUGGAAUUCCAUGUGUAGCGGUGAAAUGCGCAGAGAUAUGGAGGAACACCAGUGGCGAAGGCGGCUCUCUGGUCUGUAACUGACGCUGAUGUGCGAAAGCGUGGGGAUCAAACAGGAUUAGAUACCCUGGUAGUCCACGCCGUAAACGAUGAGUGCUAAGUGUUAGGGGGUUUCCGCCCCUUAGUGCUGCAGCUAACGCAUUAAGCACUCCGCCUGGGGAGUACGACCCAAGGUUGAAACUCAAA
rnacentral:rRNA from 1 species